rnacentral:tRNA from 1 species
GGCCUCGUAGCUCAGCUAGUGGAGCAUGCGCGUACAAAGCGUAGGCGGCGUUCAUGCGUGAGUUCGAAUCCCACCGAGGUUA